rnacentral:rRNA from 1 species
CCUACGGGAGGCAGCAGUGGGGAAUAUUGGACAAUGGGCGAAAGCCUGAUCCAGCAAUGCCGCGUGAGUGAUGAAGGCCUUAGGGUUGUAAAGCUCUUUUACCAGGGAUGAUAAUGACAGUACCUGGAGAAUAAGCUCCGGCUAACUCCGUGCCAGCAGCCGCGGUAAUACGGAGGGAGCUAGCGUUGUUCGGAAUUACUGGGCGUAAAGCGUACGUAGGCGGUUAUUCAAGUCAGAGGUGAAAGCCUGGAGCUCAACUCCAGAACUGCCUUUGAAACUAGAUAGCUAGAAUCUUGGAGAGGUGAGUGGAAUUCCGAGUGUAGAGGUGAAAUUCGUAGAUAUUCGGAAGAACACCAGUGGCGAAGGCGACUCACUGGACAAGUAUUGACGCUGAGGUACGAAAGCGUGGGGAGCAAACAGGAUUAGAUACCCUGGUAGUCCACGCCGUAAACGAUGAUAACUAGCUGUUCGGGCUCUACGAGCUUGAGUGGCGCAGCUAACGCAUUAAGUUAUCCGCCUGGGGAGUACGGUCGCAAGAUUAAAACUCAAAUUGAAAUUGACGG